AAAAGCUCUGCAAGGACCUUUCCUGACCUGGAAGAAAUAACGGCGGCUCAGCGGAGAGGGCUUCUUCCUGAACUUUAUUUGUGACAAUCCUGCCAAAUAAAACUGCAGUAAAAAUACACACACUGUUUGUCAACAAAUCAUGCAUUAUACACAUAAAAACUGUCAUUCUGCUGUCUUUCCUUAAUUGAAGGAUUCUUUUUUUCUACAGU